GAAGAGGCCUCACCAACAUCCUGGAUUAUCUCAACAUGACAUCGCAACUCCAAUAUGCAAAGGUCUGGGCAAUGAAAGCAAGCGUGCUAAAUGCCUUCUUAUCUAAAACUGUUGGGUUCAAAGAGAAAUUUCCCUUGACUCAUCAAUCAACACAGAUGAACAAGUCCAAGAUUUGGCAAAAAGUGAGAGUUAUAAGGACUAAAUGUACAAUAAAUGUGUUUAAAAAGAAGUAAUCCAAGGUGGCAAGUAUUCAAUCGUGAGGACUUGCAAGAUAGAAAUGGGUUUUGUUGGGACUCCAAUUUCUUAUCAGCAGCGAUUAGAAAUGCCAAUGGCUGCCAUCCUUCUGAAGUUUCGAUAACCUGCUUCCCUUUGACAGCGGACCAUGUAUGUAAGCUUUAGAAGAAAAGGAUCAGUCUUCAUUGUAAUGCACCUCAUGGGACAUUUGCUUGUGACACCCUUAUCAAUGUUUCACAUAUGAUUAAUGGUGACCUCAGUAAGAGGCUACUGAACAUCUGACACCACGACUAAUUACGAGACAAUGCUUUUGGAAAAAGAAGAAAGAAAAUGUAAAAAUGAUUUUUUAAAAAUUUCAAAAAGAUAUGUAGAUGUUGAUCUUGCAAGUGUCAUUGCUUGCUUUCUGAAGAAACAAUAAUAGUUCAAUUACUAUAAAGUAAGUUAAAAUGACACUUAUAAUAAAAGAUGCAACUGGCCCAUUAUACCAUUCCUUCUUCAUUGUUUUUAGUAGCUUUAUUCUUAAAUUCACUUAUUUAUUCACUCAUUCAUUUAGGAUCCCCAAUUUAAUCCCCAAUUAAUAAAGUUAGGAGAGCAGCAACCCUCACUGCUAUCACUAGCACAGGCUUGGAUAUUUAUAAAUUUAACUGCCUCAUUU